GCGCCACGAAGAGCAGGUGCGCGGCGGUGAGCAGCAGGCGCUCGCGCGGCUCCCGCGUCUCGAUCACGUAGAAGACCUUCUUGGCGCCGUCGUCGCGGUCCAGGAAGGUGUAUCCCCAACACACAUGGUGAACAGGGGGCCACCGCACACGUCCAGGUCUCCCUCGUCGGCUCACGCGGCCACCGUCAGCACGGCAAUGGCAUCAUCAGCACCACGUUCCUCAGGAGCGAAGGGGAGAGAGAUCUGGUCUCCAGAUAGAGACGGUCAGUUUUGAGAACACUUUCCUGCUCAGCGAAGUGCUUUCUGAAUGCAUAGCCUCUGUUUCCAGAGGUGUCUCUGGCCAUCUUUCCCAACGCCGCCUUCUCCUGUGCCCCGCGGUGGACCCAGGCACCCUCUGUGCCCCAGACCUGCCUCUCCUGUGCGACUCAGCAUGGCAGCCUGUGUCUGCGGCCUGGAGUGCCGUUCCCUGGGUGUCUGUCUCUGUCCCAUCCCGCAGGUUGCAGACGCAGCACACAGCCAAUUCCUUCACGACGCCGUCCCCCGCCUGCCACGCUAUCCUCUCCUUGGAGCAUGUGGGAUGCCAAGCAUGUCCCGGCCGAGCUGCACAGAGAGCGUUUUGGGGGCUUGCUUUCCCGGGCAGGAGGCUGCCUGGCCGGUGGGGCUCCGGGCUCCCACCCUCGGGGAGAGGAGGCUGCCUUACCUGUGCCCAGCCACCUGACGGUCCAUCCGCUUAGCCCUGUUCCUCUUUCCUGAAUGCUUCGGUUUUAUUUGCUUUCCCUGUGUUGGCUUCUUGGGGCCACCACAAAGUGGGGAGGGACACAUACACAACAGGAGGUGAUUGUCCUAGUCCUGGAGGCUGUGAGUCCAAGAUCGUGGUCUCACAGAGCUGGUUCCUCCUGAGACCUCUCUCUUCUCUUCUCCCCGUGUUCUCACACGGUCGUCACUCUGUGUGUCUGUAUCCCGACGCCUCUUCUUACGAGGACACCGGCCACAGUGGAUCAGGGCCACCCCCUGACGCCGUUUGACCUUAACUACCUGUGUAAAGACCCCUGGCAAACACAGUCACGUCUUGAGGUCCUGGGGUUGAGACUUCAGCACACGGGUUUGAUAGGACACAGCUCAGCCCGUAACAGACGCUAAAAAGAAAUGUGAAAUUGCAACUAUUAUUUGAAGAGACGUCUUUAAAGCACACAAGUAAAAGAAUCACUCAGAUGGACGCUAUCUCGUCAUUCACAAAAUACCGCAUUUUUGAGAAUUAUUACGAGUGGAAAACGGAUCCACGUGUGCCCGUGGACACCUUGGCCUCGAGCACGUAAAGCGCCAGAAAGGUUUAAAACCAGGCGAGGAUGGCCACAAGAGUGAUCUGAGCUGACCGGGUGGAGGCGGUCGACCUCCCGGCGCCCUUUCCGGGACUCUGGGCUCCAGCAGCCGGGGAGCAGGUGAGCACAUCGGGUGCCUGGGAGGAUUCGGGCCGAAGGCUGCAGAUCUCACGGUGCCCGGGCGGGAGACGCCCCACGUCCUUGCCCGGCCCCCCAUCCUUUGCUACCGGGGAGAUGCUCACGGGUGCUGCCCCGCGUUGUCUCUUCCCACCCCCCCACCCCCAGCCGUGCACCCCUGGCAAUCUCUUUUCUGUUUCCUGGCCUCACGUUGCCAGAUUCCGGGUCCCCAGACUGGAGUCGGGAGCGCUUUUGUCCAGCACGGUCGCCGAUUCCUGAGGGGUGAAAUCUUUGGAAGAGCAAGUCAGAUACGCUGUCCUCUCAGCUGGCAAUUGCAUAUGUUUUAUUUACAGCUUCCCAUUUCCUUAGUUCAGAGGAUAAUGUUAUUUUUGUCCUGAAAAUUCAGCCUUCCUAUUAAUAACAAAUGCAAGCCCGUGGCCAUAUCCUGCCACUGUCCCGUGCUCAGAUCGAUGGCAGGAUACAGCUUAUGCUGUGUGUGUAUUUUCUUUACCGAUAAAACCUUCUAUUUAGGCACGUUUCACACUGUUUAGGUAUGAUUCGCCCAGAGUGCUUGAAAACUUUCCCAACAGCUUUCGCGGCCCUCGUUUGGUUACCACCGAGCAAAGAUGAUUCACGGGAAUUUUAGCGCAGUUGUCCUAGAAUGGGCAUUUUGGAGGUUAAAGAAGAUGUUAAGAUCAUCGGCUCCGGCUGCCUCGUGGUACAGACGCAAAGAACUAAGGCCCAGAGAGCUCGGGGGGCUCAGGGUCAUCAGCUGGGUAGCAGAGUUGCAGCCGGAAGCCAGGCACCCUCUGCUCUGUGCAGAUGCUUCCUCGGUGAGCACAGGAAUUCAUCGAGCUCGCCGCCCUCAACCUUCCGAGUCGGUUCCGAGGCCCCCGGUCCACGGUGCUAAGCGGUGCAAGGCCAGCGUGCCGGGAGGGAGCUGUUGGCAGGGCCUGAAUUUCCACCAGCCUGGCCUUUAUGGUGGCGAACGACAGCUCCUUCAUUUUCCUUUUGGCUAGCUCAGAGCAACUUGUAUCUGGUAAUUGCCCAGCUGCCCGUGCUAUUAUUACUGGUCUCGGCGUCUCGUCCAUGCACAGGGCUGGAACCGAGUGGCCGUGCUGCGGGAUCACGGGAGAAGCGUAGGACCGUACUUGAAGAAUCGAAUCAGAUGUUUAGGAAAACGGCAGUCCCCCCACGGCCCCCCAAACUCUUUCUUUGCACAAUUCAAAUAGGAAGCAAUCUUAGAGCAAUCUGAAAGUAUGCAUGAGCCCACCGCCGUUACCCAGAGCGAGGGCGCAUCGAUCUCCCUCUGCUUCUAUUGAUUUAAUGUCACCUCUGUGAUUUAAUCAUGUUUUCUUUCCUAUCUGUGCGCAGUCUUUCUUCUAUUGUCUGCCACGAAGCAGCCAAGGCCGUUCGGCCUCCGAGCUGGUCAAAAUAACUUUGUUUUUCGUUUGCAUUGUUUUCAAGAAAUGAUUAAACUGCCCGGGGGUAGGACUCUGGUGGAUGGUGUUACGUGGAAUGCAGGAUGUCUUGGGAAGACUCAAGCCUUAGCCUUGGCGUCCUGGCCGCGGCGCAGGUGUGGGUCAGGGUCAAUGGCGCAGGAGCGUCUUCUCGUCAGCUCCCAGGCAAGCGCUUGCUUCGUGGGCGAUGCCCUUGACUUCCUCCUCCUCUCCAAAGAGCCUGGGUGUACGUGGCUGUUGUUCACCCGUCACAGGCGGGCGUGUGGAAGGGGCAUAUCCAGAAGCGAAAGCUCAUUUGGACUGAGAAGUUUCCCCAAAGAAGUCUUUGAGAUGUGCUCUGUU